rnacentral:misc_RNA from 1 species
AACGCACCUUGCACCCUUUGGUAUUCCGAAGGGUAUGCCUGUUUGAGUGUCAUUAAAUUCUCAACCUUACAACUUUUUGUGAGUGGUAAGGCUUGGAUGUGAGGGCUAUUGCUGGCUUCCUUCAGUGUUGAUGGUCAGCUCCCUUUAAAGGCAUUAGUGGAAUUCUUGUGAAUCGUUCACUGAGUGUGAUAAUUAUCUACGCUCUAGAUUUACAAAGUCUGCUUAUAACCGUCCUUCAGUUGGACAAUUUCUUGACAAUUUGACCUCAAAUCAGGUAGGACUACCCGCUGAACUUAA